CUCGCCCCGAAGGAGGCCCCGACUUGCCCACAAGGAGAGGAGUCCAGACAGGCGCAGCGGCCAUGGCGGCCCAGCCAGGCGGCCCCAGUGACGGUGACGGAGUGACAGAGACAGGCACCCUGCCCAGCAGGAGGGCCCCUCAACCCCUGUGACAGCCCAGCCACACAGCUUUGUGGGGUGAAGCAGGAUCUUAUUUUCUUUGGAUCCUGGCCCAGGUCCUGACAACGACCAGGUGCGGGGGACCCUGCGGCAGCUUCCUCCACAGCACGCGGGGUGCCUGCCCGCCCAGCUCUCAGCCCCAGUCCAGGGUCCUCCAACGCAUCCCCCAGGUCUGAAAGGAGAGAGGUGCCCAGACAGGACCAGCCAGGGGGCGGCAGUGGAGCGGGGCACAGGCUGAGAGGCCCGCGGGCCUGGGCGUGAAGCACCUCGACCGCUUCCUGGAGAUGUGGCCUUGACAGAGGUCGCUCUCCCUGGACAUUGUUUCCACCACGACGACGACGCCUGCCUCUCCGUGUCCUUGUGAAGAAUCCACAACAUCACGAAGUCGGCACAAGUUCAUGGAGCACCUACUCUGGAGCAGGCGCCCAGGAGGCAGAGCCAGCCUCUUCGCCGCUCCCAGCGCAACAACAAAGGGGUGCAAUCGAUCAUCUCGCCACGAGAGGGCGCACCCGUCGGCUCCAGCCCGGACUUGCGCCUGCGCAACUUGAGGACAGCUCGCGGGGUUGGCAGCCGGCGCGGAGUGGAGAGCCUGGGUGGUUGCCGAGCGCCCGGCCCCGGGUGGGGGAUGCGCGUCAGAACGCGGCGACUAGAGGGAGUGACGGAGGAGGGGACCCACGCCUCUAGCUGUACCUCUUCCUCCCCUUCCGGGUCCAAAGGAUGUUCUUCCAAACGGGGGAGGGAACCCGCAUGGAGUCAGGGGGCUGGACACAAUGCCCUCUUCCCCACCCUCUCCAUCAUUUGUGUCAACCCUCGGCCUUCCAAGGACAUCUCUGUAUUUCCCCAGUCACCCCCCCCCACCCGCCCACGACAUUUGGGGGCACCUGCCUGAGGACCUAAGCAUAUCCAGUCUCCUCCCUUCUUACUGGUGGACUUCAGCCCUCAAAGGUGUUCGUUCCUUGAGCCCGGUGGCCGCCCGACGUGGUCCGUCGUGAGUUCGAGACUGCCCGAGACCCUCCCUGGGCCAAACUUGUCAAUUUACGGAGAAGGGGAGGGGCCAUCCGAGGUCCUACAGAACAGUAUCCUGCACAGCCAGGACUGUGGACGGCAAGUCCAGAGCCACUGAGACACUUUCUCUCUGUAAAAAGGGACCAAUGAGGGUCGAUGAAAUAACGGAAGCAAAAGUGCUUUGUAAACUGUAAAGCUCUGGAGAAAGUAAGGGGCCUCUUAUUUAUUUAUAACUGACAGUGCAAGGCCAUCUGCCCGGGGCCAGCCCACUGGUGCAGCCUGAGAGCUGGGAAAAGUCGGGUUUAGGAGCUACCACUCAGGAAUAGAAGGAUUAGGAAAAUAAAAUAAAGAAAAUCUCUGA